UUCCCCAGUAAUAGUAAUUCAACUUAGUAUGAGAGGAACCAUUGAUUCACACAAUUGGUCAUCGCGCUUGGUUGAAAAUCCAGUGGCGCGAAGCUAUCGUGUGUCGGAUUAUGACUGAAUGCCUCUAAGUCAGAAUCCAUUCUAGAAGCGACGCUUGUCACUCCUCGACUGUAUCUUGACCCGUAGUAGGGGUGUCUCUUCGGCACCCCUAGGGUUUCAUGUCACUUGCGAACCUCGAACGGGAAGCGUCUCGGUCAGGGCAGCUUUGAAGUUCAAUUUCAAACGAUCGUUGAGAAGAAUCCUUUGCAGACAACUUAAAUACGCGAUGGGGUAUUGUAAGUGGCAGAGUGGAUUUGCUGCCAUGAUCCACUGAGAUUCAACCCUUUGUCGCAUCGAUUU
rfam:Picea glauca, whole genome shotgun sequence.